GACGAACGCUGGCGGCGUGCUUAACACAUGCAAGUCGAACGCUGAAGCUUGGUGCUUGCACUGGGUGGAUGAGUGGCGAACGGGUGAGUAAUACGUGAGUAACCUGCCCUUGACUCUGGGAUAAGCCUGGGAAACUGGGUCUAAUACUGGAUACGACAUGUCACCGCAUGGUGGUGUGUGGAAAGGUUUUUACUGGUUUUGGAUGGGCUCACGGCCUAUCAGCUUGUUGGUGGGGUAAUGGCUCACCAAGGCGACGACGGGUAGCCGGCCUGAGAGGGUGACCGGCCACACUGGGACUGAGACACGGCCCAGACUCCUACGGGAGGCAGCAGUGGGGAAUAUUGCAGAAUGGGCGGAAGCCUGAUGCAGCGACGCCGCGUGAGGGAUGACGGCCUUCGGGUUGUAAACCUCUUUCAGCACGGAAGAAGCGAAAGUGACGGUACGUGCAGAAGAAGCGCCGGCUAACUACGUG
rnacentral:rRNA from 1 species